CAUUAAGAAGCUUUUAUAGCACUAGCCUUUUAAGCUAGGGAGGGGGAUUAAGAUCCCCCUUAAUGAA
rnacentral:tRNA from 1 species